UGGGGAAUAUUGGACAAUGGGCGAAAGCCUGAUACAGCCAUGCCGCGUGUGUGAAGAAGGUCUUCGGAUUGUAAAGCACUUUAAGUUGGGAGGAAGGGCAGUAAGCGAAUACCUUGCUGUUUUGACGUUACCGACAGAAUAAGCACCGGCUAACUCUGUGCCAGCAGCCGCGGUAAUACAGAGGGUGCAAGCGUUAAUCGGAAUUACUGGGCGUAAAGCGCGCGUAGGUGGUUCGUUAAGUUGAAUGUGAAAGCCCCGGGCUCAACCUGGGAACUGCAUCCAAAACUGGCGAGCUAGAGUAGGGCAGAGGGUGGUGGAAUUUCCUGUGUAGCGGUGAAAUGCGUAGAUAUAGGAAGGAACACCAGUGGCGAAGGCGACCACCUGGGCUCAUACUGACACUGAGGUGCGAAAGCGUGGGGAGCAAACAGG
rnacentral:rRNA from 1 species